rnacentral:rRNA from 1 species
UUGAACGCUGGCGGCAGGCCUAACACAUGCAAGUCGAACGGUAACAGGAAGCAGCUUGCUGCUUCGCUGACGAGUGGCGGCCGGGUGAGUAAUGUCUGGGAAGCUGCCUGAUGGAGGGGGAUAACUACUGGAAACGGUAGCUAAUACCGCAUAAUGUCGCAAGACCAAAGAGGGGGACCUUCGGGCCUCUUGCCAUCGGAUGUGCCCAGAUGGGAUUAGCUUGUUGGUGGGGUAACGGCUCACCAAGGCGACGAUCCCCAGCUGGUCUGAGAGGAUGACCAGCCACACUGGGACUGAGACACGGUCCAGACUCCUACGGGAGGCAGCAGUGGGGAAUAUUGCACAAUGGGCGCAAGCCUGAUGCAGCCAUGCCGCGUGUAUGAAGAAGGCCUUCGGGUUGUAAAGUACUUUCAGCGGGGAGGAAGGGAGUAAAGUUAAUACCUUUGCUCAUUGACGUUACCCGCAGAAGAAGCACCGGCUAACUCCGUG